CUGGCUUUUCUCAGUGUGGUUUGUGUUGUAACCCUAACAGUCUGUGAGGGUGGUACACAUGGUAAUCUUUGCUGAGCAUAUCCUGAACGUCUGAUGUUUGUUUUGCUGGUUUUGAACUCUCACAUUCUGGAAAGAAAAGGGAAGUAGAAAGACAGCUGGGCAGCACAGACAUUUAUUUUACCUUCAUGUUUCCUUGUGCCCUGGCUGGGUGCACGACACAUUAAAUCCAUCAUCUUGGCAACAAUGUAUGUGGUCACAUGCCACCCUGGCUCUCUGGUCUGUCUGACAAAUACAUCAUUAGGAAUAUUUUUGGCUGCGGUGCAUCUGACACUCCACAAAAAAAGGCCAGCUGUUGAAAAAGAACAGUUCUCUCCGAUUUUCUGUUUUCCAAAGGAGUUUUGGAAGAAAAUUGAAAAAGAGUAUAUACUUUGA
rnacentral:lncRNA from 1 species